GGGCGCGUAGCUCAGCGGGAGAGCACUCGCCUUACAAGCGAGGGGUCGCAGGUUCGAACCCUGCCGCGCCCACCA
rnacentral:tRNA from 1 species